UAAAAGUCUUGAAGCUUGAAAUUGGGAUUUAUGUCUCAAAGCAUGGGAAACUCAUUAAUUCGUCCAAAUGUAUCUCUUAUUGAUACUGAUAUUCCUGCAUGUGAAAUGUGAAAUUAAUAUGUUAUAGCAACAAAUUGGAAGUAUAUGAAUUUAAAAUAUGCAAAAUAAAGCAUAUACUUAUAAAAAUACUUAAAUAUUCUCUAAAAAAAAACUUAAAUAUAACAAAAUUGGUUGUAGCAUAUAAUACAAACAUUCACGAUCAUUAGUAUGAAUAAUUAUAUGGCCAUAGCCCAUAUCAACUGAACACAAACUAUAUCAAGAAAAUUAUUUUAUGUGAAGCAAACAUGUACAUGGAUAGUGCAAUUAAAACAUCCAAAUUUGAUGCAAGAUUCUUGCACAUGUUUGUUACACUAAAAGAUAUAGAUUUUAGUCUAAUGUCAUUAUUCUGAAUUAUAUAUUUUUAGUUAGUGUCACAUUUCAUAUUAAUUUUAUAGGAAAAAAAUGGGAUGCAUAAAGUGGAACAUGAACAAACAAUACGUAAUUUAAAAACAGCAAAAAGGCCAAGCACUCAAGUAAUUAUCAGGGGAAAAAGUCUUAACAAUUCAAGGUCAAUGCUUACAUGCUCUUUAACCAGUUUGUUCACCAAUUCAUGAAUCUGUUCUUCUAUCAUAAAGUGAAGAAUUUAUAGCAAGAGCCACAGAUCUCCUGACAUCAAUAAAGAAAGAUAAGUGAAACACUAAUUUAGGCUCACAAACAAGCAGAAGUAAACAAGAAUAUAAUUUUAUUUUUUGGAUCUAUCCUUUUCAGUAUAUUCACUAAAGGGACUUAUCUCUCAACUUUAAGAACAGAUCUGGAAAAGAGAAUGAAGAUUCUCAAACCCUAAAUCAGAAACAAACGAUUUUUAUUAGUAAAAUCAUAAAAACUAUAACUUGAAUAGGAAACUGAAAUAACAAACCCUAAAACUAUAAAAAGGUAAAAACCCUAAAUUAUUGUUCUUCAACAUAGAGUUAGAGUGAUAAAAAAUAAACAAAAGAUUACCUUUGACUGAAAAGCUUAAAUCAUGAGUGGUUAUAUUUUUUUUAUCAACAAUAUCUGAAAAUAAACAGAAAAAGAAAUUGUUAGGGAUGUAUAACAAACUAAAAUCGAACAGAAAGUGUAAAAAUUAAAUAAAAUGAAAACGAAGAAAGUAUUAACCAGCGGCGAAAUUGAAGAACGAAACGAAGAAUGAAGAUAGAGGGAUUUACGUUGGUGGUGGUCUCAGCGGAGGCAAAUCCAUUAUAUUAGGGUUUGAGUUUUUGUGUGAUAGUUUGAGAGUGAAAGAAGAAAGAAAAGAAACGGCGGAAUGAGAGAGAGAGAGAGAGAGAGAGAGAGAGAGAGAGAGAGAGAGAGAAGAG
rnacentral:lncRNA from 1 species